GACGAACGCUGGCGGCGUGCUUAACACAUGCAAGUCGAACGAUGACGCCCGAGUUUGCUCGGUCUGAUUAGUGGCGAACGGGUGAGUAACCCGUGAUCAACCUUCCCUUCACUCUGGGAUAACCUCGGGAAAUCGGUGCUAAUACCCGAUAUGAGCUCCUGUCGCAUGGCGGGUGUUGUAAAGUUUUUUGGUGAAGGAUGGGCUCGCGGCCUAUCAGUUUGUUGGUGAGGUAGUGGCACACCAAGGCAAUGCCCGGUAGCCGACCUGGGAGGGCCACCGGCCAAACUAGGACGGAGACACGGCCCAGACUACAACGGGAGGCAACGGUGGAGAAUAGUACACAGUAGGCGAGAGCCUGGUGCGACGAAGCCGCGAGGGGGAAGACAGCCAUCGGGUUGUAAACCUAAGUCAGCAGAGAAGAAGCGAAAGUGACGGUACCUGCAGAAGAAGCGCCGGCUAACUACGUG
rnacentral:rRNA from 1 species